UUCUAGACGGGUCUACUUACAUAGAGAAGCAGAGAUAGACCGGGUUGAAACAUUGCAAACAGAACAAUGGAACCUCUUCUUCAGCUGUAAACUUGAGCUGGGAGACUUUUGGCCUGAGAUUCUAAAGAAGGAGAAUGAGGCGGAUGCUCUCAGGAAGGAGCAGGUCUCUGAUUCCACCUUCCCUUAUGAGAAGCUCCACAUCCCCUUCCAUCCCUGGCUCUCAAGUGCCGUAUAUCUACAAAAGUGAAGAUCUGCUCUAAGAUUGGCUGGUCUACCCCUCAGCAAGCUAUUCUCCCAGUGUGGGGUGCCCAGGCCAUGAGAAGGCAGACUAGGUCUCCUUUGGGGAGAGUCGGGCCCUGAGCUGGGAAGAGCUGCCCGUUCCCUGGGUCCAGGAGGUUGCUGCCAUAGAUGUUCUGCCAUGAGUCAAGAAGGAGCUAGAAGGGCAUGCAGAGCAGGGCUCCUCCGACGGGACU
rnacentral:lncRNA from 1 species